rnacentral:rRNA from 1 species
UACGUAGGGUGCAAGCGUUAAUCGGAAUUACUGGGCGUAAAGGGCGCGUAGGCGGCCUGCUAAGUCGAACGUGAAAUCCCCCGGGCUCAACCCGGGAACUGCGUCCGAUACUGGCAGGCUUGAAUUCGGGAGAGGGAUGCGGAAUUCCAGGUGUAGCGGUGAAAUGCGUAGAUAUCUGGAGGAACACCGGUGGCGAAGGCGGCAUCCUGGACCGACAUUGACGCUGAGGCGCGAAAGCCAGGGGAGCAAACGGG